GAUGAAUGAAAGUUGAUUUAUUAUGUCGAGGCUUUCUUUCGAGGAGUCAGAAGCUGGGCCUGUGUUCGCUGCGGUCGCAGACGGAUCAGUGAAAACUGGGCGGGGGCUUGCAGUUGUUGGAGGGGGAAGUCCAUUGUCCGCUGUUAAGAGAUGGACCUGCCCUGGUGUCUUUUUAAUGUGUAUUUAUUGCGUUCAGGAUUUUUCCACGCCGCCUCUGGAUUUUUUUCUGAUCAGUUCACUGGC